UUUAUCGGAGAGUUUGAUCCUGGCUCAGGACGAACGCUGGCGGCGUGCCUAAUACAUGCAAGUCGAGCGGACAGAUGGGAGCUUGCUCCCUGAUGUUAGCGGCGGACGGGUGAGUAACACGUGGGUAACCUGCCUGUAAGACUGGGAUAACUCCGGGAAACCGGGGCUAAUACCGGAUGCUUGUUUGAACUGCAUGGUUCAGACAUAAAAGGUGGCUUCGGCUACCACUUACAGAUGGACCCGCGGCGCAUUAGCUAGUUGGUGAGGUAACGGCUCACCAAGGCGACGAUGCGUAGCCGACCUGAGAGGGUGAUCGGCCACACUGGGACUGAGACACGGCCCAGACUCCUACGGGAGGCAGCAGUAGGGAAUCUUCCGCAAUGGACGAAAGUCUGACGGAGCAACGCCGCGU
rnacentral:rRNA from 1 species